rnacentral:rRNA from 1 species
GCGAACGCUGGCGGCAGGCCUAACACAUGCAAGUCGAGCGGUCCUUCGGGGCAGCGGCGGACGGGUGAGUAACGCGUGGGAACGUGCCCUUUGGUACGGAACAACUGAGGGAAACUUCAGCUAAUACCGUAUGUGCCCUACGGGGGAAAGAUUUAUCGCCAUUGGAGGGGCCCGCGUUAGAUUAGCUAGUUGGUAGGGUAAUGGCCUACAAAGGCGACGAUCUAUAGCUGGUCUGCGAGGAUGAUCAGCCACACUGGGACUGAGACACGGCCCAGACUCCUACGGGAGGCAGCAGUGGGGAAUCUUGCGCAAUGGGCGAAAGCCUGACGCAGCCAUGCCGCGUGAAUGAUGAAGGUCUUAGGAUUGUAAAAUUCUUUCACCGGGGACGAUAAUGACGGUACCCGGAGAAGAAGCCCCGGCUAACUUCGUGCCAGCAGCCGCGGUAAUAC